AGAGUUCCGGAGGCAGCACCUGCCUGAUGGGCUAUGUUUCCUCGGUGGUGACCCUCAUUUCUUCUCGCGAGGUUCCAACGCAGCCGUUAUGGUCUAGAGCGGCCGCCAGGGAACUCCACGUGGAGACCGCGCCGACGCAGGCGCCCUGGGGGCCUCGAAACUGUUCUGAGCAUGCUGGCUCUCAGGACAGCAGUGAGAGAUGAGGUGUGGGGUGGGGUCUGACACAGACGAACCCUUUCCGGCCGUGUUAGCGUCAUACUCGCUGCGCCUGACUCCAGCCGCAGGCCGAUUCUCUGGCUGCCUCUGCAGAGACUUCGUUAUCAAGCAAACGCCCUCUUCAUCACUUUUGUAAUAGGGACAUUAGCUGAGUAGUUGUUGCAUCUGGGAGGAGCUGAAGAAGACGCUGGUGUCACAGGGUUCCUUACAUACAUAUUUGGAAUAACCAGGACAGACUGGAAAGAAGGAAUAAAAACAAGCAAUAUGGUUACUACAAUCCUAUGCAAUUUCCCCUGGUACCAUCAGAGUGAAGGACAAAGAGCAUUCUGUAUCAUCAAAUGCUUGUUCCAGAGGAGUGUGAAUUUAUUUUGCAUUUUCUUUAAAAUGCCAGAAGUCUUUCCUUUUGAAUGAAGACCAAAAUGGUUAACGUGGCCAUUGAGGUAGGAUGACAGCUUCCAGCCCAACCUCAUUUUAUACCAUGUUGCUCCAUUCCUUAUAGAUGAAAAGCAAAGUGAAAGAUCUGUAAAAAACGAUGUUUGCCAAGUGUUGGAAGGUAGAAUAUUUCAGAAUGAAGCACCAUCAUCUAAGUGUGAAGAACAUAGAGCUAAACAAAGAUGCUGCCUCUUAGAGAUGUUCUAUUCCAGGCCUCUGCUUUCCAUCUGAGAGUGAAUAUUCAAAUCUAAACUAUUUUAUUAAUAUUAUUCUUUAAAUAUCUCUGCCAGAAUUUCCAUCAAAAGUCAGUCAUAUAUCUGAGUAGUUCAUUGAAUCUAUCACAUAAUUGUUGUUAAGAUGUGCCAUUAUUUUAUACAACACCAAGAAAGAAAAUUCAGCCACUUAACCUAUGAUACUGUAAGAUCUCAAAGAUGUUAAACAGUGGAAAAAAGUAAAGAGUUAAUGUAAUAUGUUAUGUCUUUAGAUGGAAGAUAGAGAGAUUUUCCUUUUUAGUCCUAAGACAGUAGGAGAAAUAAUGAAUAUUUUAUAAUUAGGCUGAAGUUUGAAUUCCAGUUCCUCUAUUGUGUGACCUUAGGAAGUGAUGUUUCUUUAAACUCUAUUUCUUCCUCUGUAAAAUGGGAUUAUACCCACCUUCGUUGGGUUGAGGUGAGGAAUACAUGAUUUACUGGAUGUAAUGCUUCUACCCUAAUCCCUGUCCCAUGGUGUACAUUUAAAAGAAAAUUAGUUUUCCUUCUCCUUAUUUUAAACCAAUGUAAUUCUCGUAAUAAUUUAAGUCAAGUUUCUCCUGUUUCAGUCCUCUAAAGCAUAGGCAUAGUUCUAAAUUAAGAUGCCUCAUAAGGAGGAGUCUUAGUUAUAGUAGAGCAUUGCUCUUUCUCACCAUCUCUGUCUCCUUACUUUGUCCUCCUUUAUUUCUUGCUGGUUAAAAUGUAGACUUCAAUGAUUAAUUCCCUGUAUUGCUUUGCACAUAGACACAAACAUUCCUUGCUUAUUGAAUAGUCAUACAUGAACACCAAAAGGAGCAACUCUCAUUUUCGCCUAUUAUGCAAAGUGCCUUCUUCCUAGAUAAUGCUAUAGAAUGUUGUUAAAUAUUGCCUCUCCAAUUUCUGUAAGAUUUUAAUCAUACCCUCUUUAAUUCAUUGGAUCUCUUCUGUCGCCAACUGCCUUGUUUAUUAAAUUAUCUCCUCAAAAGGAUUCUUUUAAUUCAUUUCUUCAGUUUGAAACUUUUGUGCAUCAAAGGAUACUGUAAAUAAAAUGCAAAUACAAUCCACAGAAGGGGAGAAAUAUUUGCAAAUCAUAUAUCUGAUAAGGGUUUAGUAUUUAGAAUACAGAAAGAAAGCUUACACCUCAACAAUCAGAAGAUAAUCCAAUUAAAAUUUGGCAAAAGAUUUGCAUAUAUAUUUCUCCAAAGAAAAUACACAUAUGGCCAAUCAGUAUGUGCAUGACAGGCAUCUGAAAAGAUAUUCAAUAUCAUUAGACUCUAGCGAAAUGCAGAUCACCGCAAUGAGAUACUGCUUCACAUUCACAAAGACGGCUAUCAUCAAAAAGAAAGUAACAAGUGUUGGUGAGGAUUUAGAGAAUUACAGCCCUCAUAAUUUGCUGGUGGGGACGUAAAAUGGUGUGGUUGCUUUGAAAAGUUGUUUUGCAAUUCCUCAAAAAGCUAAAUACAAAGUUACCAUAUGACCUAGCAAGUCGACUACUAGGUAUAUACCCAAGAGAACUGAAAAUAUAUGCUCGCACAGAAACUUAUAUACAAAUGUUCAUAGCCAUAAUAACCAAACAGUGGGAACAACUCACAUGUCUAUUAACUGAUGAAUGGAUACAGAAAAUGUGGUAUAUGCAUACACUGAAACAUUAUUCAUUCAUCAGAAAGAAUGAAGUACAUGCCACGAAAUGGAUGAACCUUGAAAACAUCAUGUUAAGUGCAAAAAUCCAGAUAGAAAAGGCCAUAUAUGUGUGUUACUCCAUUCAUAUGAAAUGUCCAGAAUAGACAAAUUCAUAGAAAUGGAAAGUAGAUUAGUGGUUGCCAGAGACUGGGGGAAGGAGAAAACGCGGAGUGACUGCUAAUGAGUCUAGGUUUCAUUUAGGGGUGGUGAAAAUAUUCUAGAAUUAUAUAGUGGUGAUGGUUGUACAACUUCCUAAUAUAUUUAAAAACAAAGGGGUAAUUUUUCAGAUUUUAUGAAUACCUAAUAGUUGUACAUGUUUAUGGCAUAUAUGUGAUAUUUUAGUACAAGCAUACAAUGUGUAAUGAUUAAAUCUGGGUAAUUAGG